rnacentral:misc_RNA from 1 species
GAUGAAGAACGUAGCGAAAUGCGAUAAGUAAUGUGAAUUGCAGAAUUCAGUGAAUCAUCGAAUCUUUGAACGCACCUUGCGCCCUUUGGCUAUUCCGAAGGGCAUGCCUGUUUGAGUAUCGUGAACACCUCAACUCUCAUGGUUUGCCAUGAUGAGCUUGGACUUUGGGGGUUUUGCUGGCCUUUGGUCGGCUCCUCUCAAACGGAUCAGCUUUCCAGUGUUUGGUGGCGUCACGGGUGUGAUAACUAUCUACGCCUGUGGUUUUCUGCCAGAUAACCUUCGGCGAUGGAGGUUCGCUGGGGCUCAUAAAUGUCUCUCUUCAGUGGAGACAGCUUUUUGGACGUUUGAUCUCAAAUCAGGUAGGACUACCCGCUGAACUUAAGCAUAUCAAUAAGCGGAGGA